rnacentral:tRNA from 1 species
GGUUGCACAGUGGUUGAGCACUUGGCUGCUAACCAAAAGGUGGGUGGUUCAAAUCCACCAGCUA